CUUGGAAAUCUCAGUUGGUUAGAGCGUGGUUCUGAUAACGCCAAGGUUGCAGGUUCGAUGGGGCAAAUGCAUAUUCCUGCAUUGCAGGG